rnacentral:tRNA from 1 species
GGGGGGAUUCCAGAGCGGUCAAAUGGGACGGACUGUAAAUCCGUUACUUCGGUUUCGAAGGUUCGAAUCCUUCUCCCCCCACAA